rnacentral:rRNA from 1 species
GACGAACGCUGGCGGCGUGCUUAACACAUGCAAGUCGAACGAUGAAGCUAGAGCUUGCUCUGGUGGAUUAGUGGCGAACGGGUGAGUAACACGUGAGUAACCUGCCCCGAACUCUGGGAUAACUGCUGGAAACGGUAGCUAAUACCGGAUAUGACCAAUGAAGGCAUCUUCUGUUGGUGGAAAGAAUUUCGGUUCGGGAUGGACUCGCGGCCAAUAAGCUUGUUGGUGAGGUAACGGCUCACCAAGGCGACGACGGGUAGCCGGCCUGAGAGGGUGAUCGGCCACACUGGGACUGAGCCACGGCCCAGACUCCUGCGGGAGGCAGCAGUGGGGAAUAUUGCACAAUGGGCGCAAGCCUGGUGCAGCAACGCCGCGUGAGGGACGACGGCCUUCGGGUUGUAAACCUCUUUUAGUAGGGAAGAAGCGAAAGUGACGGUACCUGCAGAAAAAGCACCGGCUAACUACGUGCCAGCCGCCGCAGUAA